rnacentral:rRNA from 1 species
AACGCGAAGAACCUUACCUGGGUUAAAUCCCAGUUGUAAGCCUCAGAGAUGAGGCCCCCUCGCAAGAGGCGGCUGGGAAGGUGCUGCAUGGCUGUCGUCAGCUCGUGUCGUGAGAUGUUGGGUUAAGUCCCGCAACGAGCGCAACCCUUACCACUAGUUGCCAGCAUUUAGUUGGGCACUCUAGCGGAACUGCCGGUGAUAAACCGGAGGAAGGUGGGGAUGACGUCAAGUCAUCAUGGCCUCUAUGUCCAGGGCUACACACGUGCUACAAUGGCCGGUACAAACCGCUGCGAACUCGCGAGAGGGAGCCAAUCGGAAAAAGCCGGUCUCAGUUCGGAUUGGAGUCUGCAACUCGACUCCAUGAAGUUGGAAUCGCUAGUAAUCGCAGAUCAGCACGCUGCGGUGAAUACGUUCCCGGGUCUUGUACACACCG